AUUAGGGUCAUGAAGAGAUGAUUGUCUGCAUAAGAUAUCGAGUGGAAUAUCUUGUUAGAGAAAUUUAUAAAUCAAAGAAGAACAUUAAUUUUUGUGCUUGGAUCAGUCACCGGUAAAGGUAAGAAUCUCUGUACAUGAUCAUCAUUAUAUAUGUUAUUUUAUCAUUGGUUUUAUUUCAUUGAUUUUGCAUCGUUGGAUUUGAGAUCGAUGAAUUUGUUAUAUCUGAGA
rnacentral:lncRNA from 1 species